rnacentral:tRNA from 1 species
GGAUUGUGGCUUAGUGGCAGAAUGCUUGCCUCGCAAGUAUGAGGCCCUGGGUUCAAUCCUCAGUACCA